UACACAUGCAAGUCGAACGAUGAACCGCUUUCGGGCGGGGAUUAGUGGCGAACGGGUGAGUAACACGUGGGCAAUCUGCCCUGCACUCUGGGACAAGCCCUGGAAACGGGGUCUAAUACCGGAUAUGACCGUCUGCCGCAUGGUGGAUGGUGUAAAGCUCCGGCGGUGCAGGAUGAGCCCGCGGCCUAUCAGCUUGUUGGUGAGGUAGUGGCUCACCAAGGCGACGACGGGUAGCCGGCCUGAGAGGGCGACCGGCCACACUGGGACUGAGACACGGCCCAGACUCCUACGGGAGGCAGCAGUGGGGAAUAUUGCACAAUGGGCGAAAGCCUGAUGCAGCGACGCCGCGUGAGGGAUGACGGCCUUCGGGUUGUAAACCUCUUUCAGCAGGGAAGAAGCGAAAGUGACGGUACCUGCAGAAGAAGCGCCGGCUAACUACGUGCCAGCAGCCGCGGUAAUACGUAGGGCGCAAGCGUUGUCCGGAAUUAUUGGGCGUAAAGAGCUCGUAGGCGGCUUGUCACGUCGGUUGUGAAAGCCCGGGGCUUAACCCCGGGUCUGCAGUCGAUACGGGCAGGCUAGAGUUCGGUAGGGGAGAUCGGAAUUCCUGGUGUAGCGGUGAAAUGCGCAGAUAUCAGGAGGAACACCGGUGGCGAAGGCGGAUCUCUGGGCCGAUACUGACGCUGAGGAGCGAAAGCGUGGGGAGCGAACAGGAUUAGAUACCCUGGUAGUCCACGCCGUAAACGGUGGGCACUAGGUGUGGGCAACAUUCCACGUUGUCCGUGCCGCAGCUAACGCAUUAAGUGCCCCGCCUGGGGAGUACGGCCGCAAGGCUAAAACUCAAAGGAAUUGACGGGGGCCCG
rnacentral:rRNA from 1 species